AGUCGAGCGGUAACAUUUCUAGCUUGCUAGAAGAUGACGAGCGGCGGACGGGUGAGUAACGCGUAGGAAUCUGCCUAGUAGAGGGGGACAACAUGUGGAAACGCAUGCUAAUACCGCAUACGCCCUUAGGGGGAAAGGAGGGGAUCUUAGGACCUUCCGCUAUUAGAUGAGCCUGCGUAAGAUUAGCUAGUUGGUGGGGUAAAGGCCUACCAAGGCGACGAUCUUUAACUGGUCUGAGAGGAUGACCAGUCACACUGGGACUGAGACACGGCCCAGACUCCUACGGGAGGCAGCAGUGGGGAAUAUUGGACAAUGGGCGAAAGCCUGAUCCAGCCAUGCCGCGUGUGUGAAGAAGGCCUUAGGGUUGUAAAGCACUUUCAGUGGGGAGGAAGG
rnacentral:rRNA from 1 species